UACAGAGGGGGCAAGCGUUAUUCGGAAUUAUUGGGCGUAAAGGGCGCGUAGGCGGCAUGGCAAGUGGAUGGUGAAAUCCCUCGGCUUAACCGAGGAACUGCCGUCCAAACUGCUUCGCUUGAGACCGGGGGAGGUGAGUGGAAUUCCCAGUGUAGCGGUGAAAUGCGUAGAUAUUGGGAGGAACACCAGUGGCGAAGGCGGCUCACUGGACCGGUACUGACGCUGAAGCGCGAAAGCGUGGGGAGCAAACGGG
rnacentral:rRNA from 1 species